GUCCUCAAACGAGCUACGUUUGGAUGCCCUGCCUGCGGAAGCCUCACGUCCCCCACACCCGGACAGGGUAUGGAGGUUCUGGCUCAACCUACCUUUCAAGCAGGCCCGGUCAAGAGUUAGGCAGAAUUGGGUGGUGUGCGCUGUGGAGCCGCGGCAAGCUGAGGGCAGGGUGCGCUGAGGCACCGGCUGUGGUCCAAUGGGCGGUGGCUGGCCUGGACUGGCCCUAGCGAGUUUGGGGGAGCAGUCGUGCUUGCACUGCAAUUGAGGCUUUCUGGAAUGUACCUCCACUGACAGCCAGAAAGGAAAUGGGGACUUCAGCCUUACAAGCAGCAGAGAACUAAAUUCUGCCAACAACCGGAAUGAUCUUAGAAGCAGAUGCUUCCUCAGAGUAUCCAGGUGAGAACCAACCCAGCUAACAACUUAUUUCAGCUUUCGAGGACAGCGAUCCUGCACCCCAACUAUGCUGUGCCCAGACUUGUGCCCUACCGAACUAUGAAGUAAAACUGCUGAUCUUUAAAGUAUGCCUAGAACUUGGAAACCUGAAAAUCUUCUUGACCCCACCCUGCCACCUACCUUAAGCCUCAAGACGUGGAAUUAAUCCUCAGACCUUGGUAAUAAAGAAGAAGUACCUCAGAAACAAGACCGGCAACAAGUGUGAGCUUUAGACAUAAACGAGACCAGAGUAAGGACUUUUUAACGACUAUCAUUUACAAUUUGAUGACCCCUAAUUUGCUGACAACAGCUGUAUCACUUUCAUGUUACCAGCAUGGAUAAUUGUAACACUGAUACAGACAAUCACCCAUGGACAAGCGUGCCUUGCAGAAGUCCAGGAGCCCAGCAGAGAACUUACAGCACACUAGUAGAGGGGAAAAAAAAAAAAAUCCCAGAUUGUAAGCAUUG